GACGAACGCUGGCGGCGUGCUUAACACAUGCAAGUCGAACGAUGAAGAAGAGCUUGCUCUUCGGAUUAGUGGCGAACGGGUGAGUAACACGUGACUAACCUGCCCCUUUCUCUGGGAUAACGCCCCGAAAGGAGUGCUAAUACCGCAUACUCACAUCGAGGCACAUGCCUUGCUGUGGAACGUUUUUCGGGAAGGGAUGGAGUCGCGGCCUAUCGGCUUGUUGGGGAGGUAACGGCCCACCAAGGCGACGACGGGUAGCCGGCCGGGGAGGGGGACCGGCCACCAGGGGACUGAGACAUGGCCCAGACUCCUACGGGAGGCAGCAGUGGGGAAUAUUGCACAAUGGGCGAAAGCCUGAUGCAGCGACGCCGCGUGAGGGAUGAAGGUCUUCGGAUUGUAAACCUCUUUCAGUAGGGACGAAGCGAAAGUGACGGUACCUAAAGAAGAAGCACCGGCUAACUACGUGCCAGCCGCCGCUGUAA
rnacentral:rRNA from 1 species